rnacentral:rRNA from 1 species
CCGUUUAAAGCCGGAGGAAGGUGGGGAUGACGUCAAGUCAGCAUGGCCUUUAUGUCCUGGGCUACACACACGCUACAAUGGCCAACACAAUAGGUUGCUAAGCCGCGAGGUGGAGCCAAUCCUCAAAGUUGGUCUCAGUUCAGAUUGCAGGCUGCAACCCGCCUGCAUGAAGAUGGAGUUGCUAGUAACCGCAGGUCAGCUAUACUGCGGUGAAUACGUUCCCGGGGCUU